rnacentral:rRNA from 2 species
UACGUAGGGGGCAAGCGUUGUCCGGAUUUAUUGGGCGUAAAGAGCGUGUAGGCGGCCAGAUAGGUCGGUUGUGAAAACUAGAGGCUCAACCUCUAGACGUCGACCGAAACCAUUUGGCUAGAGUCCGGAAGAGGAGAGUGGAAUUCCUGGUGUAGCGGUGGAAUGCGCAGAUAUCAGGAAGAACACCCGUGGCGAAGGCGGCUCUCUGGGACGGUACUGACGCUGAGACGCGAAAGCGUGGGGAGCGAACAGG